rnacentral:rRNA from 1 species
GGGUCUGUCCAUUGGUCGGGCUUCACGGUCCGUACUGGUGAGAUGGGUUCCUACCUUCUGAAUAACCAGCAUGCCAUUUAGUUGGUGCGUUGGGGAAGCAGAGCUAUUACCUUGAAAAAAUUAGAGUGUUCAAAGCAGGCAAAGCCUGAAUACAUUAGCAUGGAAUAAUAAAAUAGGACGUGUGGUUCUAUUUUGUUGGUUUCUAGAAUCGCCGUA